rnacentral:tRNA from 1 species
GAGGGUCUAGCUCAGUAGAGCACGUGCUUAGCAUGCACGAGGUCCUGGGUUCAAUCCCCAGUACCUCCA